rnacentral:misc_RNA from 1 species
AGCAGCCGCGGUAAUUCCAGCUCCAAUAGCGUAUAUUAAAGUUGCUGCAGUUAAAAAGCUCGUAGUUGAAUUUCGGGACUAAUAUGUCGGUCGUGCCUCGGUACGUACUGGUUUAUUGGUUUCUCCUUUCUGAAGAACCAUGAUGUCAUUUAUUUGGUGUCGUGGGGAAUCAGGACUGUUACUUUGAGAAAAUUAGAGUGUUUAAAGCAGGCUCACGCUUGAAUACAUUAGCAUGGAAUAAUGAAAUAGGACGUUUGAUUCUAUUUUGUUGGUUUCUAGGAUCGACGUAAUGAUUAAUAGGGAUAGUUGGGGGCAUUAGUAUUCAAUUGUCAGAGGUGAAAUUCUUGGAUUUAUUGAAGACUAACUACUGCGAAAGCAUUUGCCAAGGAUGUUUUCAUUAAUCAAGAACGAAAGUUAGGGGAUCGAAGACGAUCAGAUACCGUCGUAGUCUUAACCAUAAACUAUGCCGAC